AUGGACAACUUCAAGAACUUGGAUGAGAAGCUUCUACGUGGUAACAUUUUAAGAAUCAUGUUCUCCUGGGCGUUGCAUAUAGAAACCAGAUACUUGCUCAUUGAUGUUAUAUCACAUUUUAUGUUUACUCCACCAAUCAUUGGUAUGUCAAUUCACAUAGGAAGGUAUUCCACUGUCAGUAUGCUACCUAUGUUGUGUAUAUGUAAGUGUAUUGUGCAUUCCCAACUUGCGUAUAUUUUUGACAUGUAUGUGCAUACACACAGAAAAUGGAAGAGAAGAGAUAUAAAAAGGUUAGUAUUCAUGAUUCUCUAUCCUAAAUGUAUUUGUGUAAAUAAUAUUCAUGCUAGCCGCUCUUUUAUGAAUGAUUCGUUUUUCUUAAUGCCUCUUUUUUAG
rnacentral:rRNA from 1 species